UUAUUUGAGAGUUUGAUCCUGGCUCAGGAUGAACGCUGGCGGCGUGCCUAACACAUGCAAGUUGAGCGAUUUACUUCGGUAAAGAGCGGCGGACGGGUGAGUAACGCGUGGGUAACCUACCCUGUACACACGGAUAACAUACCGAAAGGUAUGCUAAUACGGGAUAAUAUAUUUGAGAGGCAUCUCUUAAAUAUCAAAGGUGAGCC
rnacentral:rRNA from 1 species